UACGUAGGUGGCAAGCGUUGUCCGGAAUUAUUGGGCGUAAAGCGCGCGCAGGCGGUCCUUUAAGUCUGAUGUGAAAGCCCACGGCUCAACCGUGGAGGGUCAUUGGAAACUGGGGGACUUGAGUGCAGGAGAGAAGAGUGGAAUUCCCAGUGUAGAGGUGAAAUUCGUAGAUAUUGGGAAGAACACCAGUGGCGAAGGCGGCUCACUGGCCCGCACCUGACACUCAGGGACGACAGCGUGGGGAGCGAACGG
rnacentral:rRNA from 1 species